ACUGUGGGAACUCUGGCUGCUGUUAUCAUGAGUACCACAACACAGUUCAGAAAAACUGCUGUCCAUCAAAACUCAACUAGACCACAUAAACAUUUCCUAUCCUGGCAGGAAAACUCUUAGUUACUUUCUUAAAUAUUCCAUCUUCUGGACAGUAAAACUUGGUCUCAUCAGUCCAAGGAUCCUUUCAAGCUUUCUGUCCAUCUGUCCAUCCAUCCAUCCAUUCCACGCUUUCUCUGUCCAAGUGUUGUGCUGGUUGCAGGGGGAGUUCUGUCAGUGAAUUUGCUGCUAGUUUCCUAGCAUGGGAGUAUGUAGUGGGCUGAUAGGGUAAGCUGGAAUUCCAUUCCCAAGGAUCUCUUUCCUUUAGCUCCAAGUCAGAGUUGGCCAAAAGAGGAAUUUGCACAAGCUUUGGAAGACAUGAGAGUGAAAAGAGUGGCUGGGCAUGGCAACCAACAGAGGAGAAGUGACAGUGGGUCCUAGCUUGUCCUCACUCUGCGUCCAGAUCUUUUUCCCAACUGCUGAUACUGUUGCCCAAAAGCAGCCCAGGGCCACCAUCGGAUGUAUAUGUAGCCCCAAAGAGCUUCCCAUCGCUUCUCUUAGGCUUCCUUCUCCACUGUGGCAGCUGGAUAUGCAAGGCUUCUGACUCCCAGUUAUUUUGUGGGAAGGGGCUACAAGAUUUCUAAGAACUUCGCCGGCAAACAUUCCUGACUAUGGACAAUGCAACUGCAUCGACUGGUGAUUGUAAGAGAAAUAUGUAUAGGUGUCCUGUGAAAAUAUAUGAAGAGAACAACAUGUAAUACUUCCAAAUUUCAAUUGAAGAAAAUGAACUCGAAUGUCUUGAAAUCAAUCAAGUGUUCGGAACCAACAGACCCUGGGACAUCCCUUGCUCCAGCGUCCAACCACCCUCCAACCUUUUUCCCAGUCUCAACCAUCGGAUCCCUCAGCCAUCCUUGGUCUCUGAACCAGCCAACACCAUUUUUCGAGCUUAGUUCUUCACUGAAGAUCAAGCAUGAGCUCCAAGAUUCUUCAGAAUUAUUCCACCCAGAUAGGAGCUGAUCUGUGGGUCCCGACACCUACCUCCCUCUGGGCUUCUAUUUCCACUGCGAAGACGUGGCCCUGGAGCUCCUGGGCCACUUCUGCAACUUGGCCGAGGUGAAGCGUGAGUUGGCCCAGCCUCUCUCGAAAAUGCAAAACCAGCAGACCCCCCAGCUCUCUGCUUCCUGGGCAGCUGCUUCCUGGGUGAGCAGGUGAAGCUCAUUGAGAAGAGGGGCGACCACCUGACCGACCACAGCAACCCGCCUGGUCCCUGGGCGGGGCCGGCUGGUGUCUAUUUCAAAGGCUCACCCUCAAGCAGGACUUGGAGCCUCCAGUGGCCUUUGAGGAGCCCCUUAGGGGUCAGGGCUUCUGCUUGAAGCCCCUCUCUGCCGCCUCUAGGCAGCUUUUUAACCAACCACCCUGGAGCCCUCUCCCAAGCCUUGAACCAAAGGGAAACAAUAAAGCUUUGCAACAAGAACA
rnacentral:lncRNA from 1 species